CAGAGCAUCUUGGGAGCAAGGAUGGGACGGCCUGGAAUGGCUCCUCACCACUGCUCUUGCUCCCCACCUCUCUCCUGCCCCUGCAGUGAGGGGAGGGUUGGGGGUGGCAGCUCUGCUUCUGAGGGCUCUUGGAGAUGGAGGCUGUGCUCUGGGAGUUGGUUGUUACUCGCCUGCAAAAGGCAAGUUGCUUGCAAAUGGGCUAAGGUCUGAAAUCCUAUCUAGGGGGCUUCUAGCUUAACCUCAAGUCCUGCCUCCUUGGCCACGUCUCUGUGAGAACUGGUCUCCACUGAGGAGCCCAUCUUUCCUCCCUGGGUGUGUCCAUCAGCUCUGCCCAAACCAGGCUGGGAGGGCAACUCCCCCAGGUUAUAGAAGGCCUCUGGGCUUUCCCGAAUCCAGGGGUGGGAGUGAGCCCUUCCGUACCCACCUCACCCCCAACUCCAUGCAAAUAACUGGAUUCCAGAAGCCACAGAAGCUGGAGGAGCCACACCGCCAUGCCCUCUGUCCCCCCACAGUGUCCGGAGCCAGCAGUAACCCCUGCUCGGAGACUUACCAUGGCAAGUUUGCCAAUUCCGAAGUGGAGGUCAAGUCCAUUGUGGACUUUGUGAAGGACCACGGGAACAUCAAGGCCUUCAUCUCCAUCCACAGCUACUCCCAGCUCCUCAUGUAUCCCUAUGGCUACAAAACAGAACCAGUCCCUGACCAGGCUGAGCUGGAUCAGCUUUCCAAGGCUGCUGUGACAGCCCUGGCCUCUCUCUAUGGGACCAAGUUCAACUAUGGCAGCAUCAUCAAGGCAAUCUGUAAGUGGCUAUAUGGUCUCUUGGUGGGCCUGCGAGGAACAUCUGCUGGCUCUU
rnacentral:sRNA from 1 species